rnacentral:misc_RNA from 1 species
GGGUUUUAAAGAAAAUGUUUCCAUAAUUGUUUCCAGCAGCAGGGUUGAAUCAAGAACACUGAUUGAAGCUUCGCAAUUCGUUGUCAUUCAGAAAGGAAGCAAUCUUGAACCAGAAUUGAAGGUGGGUGAGUGCUUUGCUAUUAUUGGAAAAAUGGAAGAUGCCAACAGCAAAUUGGAACUCUCAAAUCAAAGUAACCAUGGCAUGAUUCUUGCUUUUGAAUCUAUUGAAGUUUCAGAA